rnacentral:rRNA from 1 species
AUGCAGUCGAACGGUAGCACAGAGGAGCUUGCUCUUGGGUGACGAGUGGCGGACGGGUGAGUAAUGUCUGGGAAACUGCCCGAUGGAGGGGGAUAACUACUGGAAACGGUAGCUAAUACCGCAUAACGUCGCAAGACCAAAGAGGGGGACCUUCGGGCCUCUUGCCAUCGGAUGUGCCCAGAUGGGAUUAGCUAGUAGGUGGGGUAACGGCUCACCUAGGCGACGAUCCCUAGCUGGUCUGAGAGGAUGACCAGCCACACUGGAACUGAGACACGGUCCAGACUCCUACGGGAGGCAGCAGUGGGGAAUAUUGCACAAUGGGCGCAAGCCUGAUGCAGCCAUGCCGCGUGUAUGAAGAAGGCCUUCGGGUUGUAAAGUACUUUCAGCGAGGAGGAAGGUGUUGUGGUUAAUAACCGCAGCAAUUGACGUUACUCGCAGAAGAAGCACCGGCUAACUCCGUGCCAGCA